rnacentral:rRNA from 1 species
UACGGGGGGGGCAAGCGUUGUUCGGAAUUACUGGGCGUAAAGGGCUGGUAGGCGGCCAACUAAGUCGGAUGUGAAAUCCCCAGGCUUAACCUGGGAACUGCAUCCGAUACUGGUCGGCUUGAAUCCGGGAGAGGGAUGCAGAAUUCCAGGUGUAGCGGUGAAAUGCGUAGAUAUCUGGAGGAAUACCGGUGGCGAAGGCGGCAUCCUGGACUGGCAUUGACGCUGAACAGCGAAAGCUAGGGGAGCAAACGGG